AAAACUGAAGUAACUACUACAUUUGGCUUCGGCCCAAAUAACGGCAAAAGCCCUGUUUUA
rnacentral:tRNA from 1 species